CGCCACACGACCCGGCAUAGCGGCAACAUGAUCACUUCUUCCGGUUUACCAAACACUCCGCUUCGCAAACGCCGUCCAGAGGGGACUUCUCACUCUUCCUCUGGCGAAUCAACAGGAACACAAAUCCCAACCCUCAAAACGGUUCCUGGGGCCCAGGCCAGACCUGGCAAGAAGGCCAAACUGAAUAAACCGGUUGAAGACCCCAAUCCAUCUGAUCCGGAAAGAACACCGGA